GACGAACCGUGCGAACGUUGUUCGGAUUCACUGGGCUUAAAGGGCGCGUAGGCGGGCGGUCAAGUCGGGGGUGAAAUCUUUCAGCUUAACUGGAAAAGUGCCUCCGAUACUGAUCGCCUCGAGGGAGGUAGGGGCAUGUGGAACUUCCGGUGGAGCGGUGAAAUGCGUAGAUAUCGGAAGGAACACCGGUGGCGAAAGCGACGUGCUGGACCUCUUCUGACGCUGAGGCGCGAAAGCUAGGGGAGCAAACGGG
rnacentral:rRNA from 1 species